ACAGAUGUCUAGAGGAGAAGGUUAUUAAAAAUAUUUUGCAUAGUUUGGGAGAACUAGAGGUCUGGAUUGCUUGACCUAGCCUCACCAAGCAAACCCAAGUCAAGGAAGCUACCAAGGUGCUCUUCGUCUUCAGAAACAUUGAUGUCUUGGAUGCCAGAAAGAUGUCCUGAAGGGAAAGAUUUGUAGGAGUGAGGCACGGGCAACCUUGACUCCUUCUCUAUGUCCCUCCUACACCUAGACCAAAGAGGGCGACUUGGGAUGCACCUGGCAAAUGCACCAACACCUGCUGGGCAGUCUGAAUCCAGACAGGUAAAGAACUAGAGUGCCUGGAAACCAACGUCUGGUAAUAUCUGUACAGCCAA